GGAAACCUUUGCCUGUGUUGUGAAUCGAUUAAACGUCGCUCCUCUUUUCAUUUUAUCUUUUUUAACUUUGAUAAUAUUGUAUCUGUGUCGGAAACUCUGAUAUUUCUCCUGUAAGUUUUUCAACAUUAAUGUCGAAUAUCUCAUAAUGACAAAAAAAAAAGAUAAUAGUCCCAUACCCUAGGGCUGGGUGUACACUUAUGUAAAAAGAACAGCUUUUAUUAGCAAUUAAAGCAAUAAUCUUUCCAUGCCAAAUUGCUUUAAAUUAAACUUUUAAAAAUAUGCUAAAUGGUAACCAGAUUUAGUCAUUUUUAACGUUCGCAUAAUCCGGGUUUUCUUUCUCUUUCAGUGCGUGAAUUUUAAAUACAUAAAAUGCUAUUUACUUGAAAAACAAAUAGCUAACAUACAUUUUUCACAAGUAAUCAACUAGCAUUGUUCUUUUAAUUAUACUAUAUUAACCCAAUGAAUCAC